rnacentral:lncRNA from 1 species
CUUAGCCAUUUUGAACCCCUCCAGUAGAGCCUUUAACUCUGCUUCUAGUGAUACGCCUGCAUAUGAUGGCUUACCAAAUCCCACAAUCCAGUGUCCUUUGGCAUCUCUGAAAAUACCUUCCAAUCCAUAAUUUUGUAUAACACUGUCAAAACUAGCGUCAAUAUUAAGUUUAGUCCAUCCUUUUGAGGGUUUGUGCAAUGCAAUUUUGAUGUGGAUUUUUGGAGGAAUGUACAUGUUUUUUUCAGUAAGGAGUUU